rnacentral:lncRNA from 1 species
GGGACAAAAAGAUUGUUGAUAUGAGGGAACAUUCAUGCAUGGCUAAAAAUACUAUUUAUUUUUUUUCACUAAGUGGGCCUUUUAAUCACAUAAAUUAGCAAUAAAUAGCUAAUAUAUACUCUUCCAAUCACAUGAGCUCUAAUGAUCACACUUAAAAAAUUAAACCCCACAAAUCCAAAAUAUACUUUAAAUUUUUUUUAUAAUAUCAUAAAGAAAAGAAGAAAAAAUGAUUUAAUACAUCUACAACCUUUUAAAAGUUGUUAAUUAAUUUUAUUUAGACACUCGAAUUAAUCAACUGGAACAUGUAUGAGAUUUUACGACUUAUUAAGAUUAAUACAAUUAAUGG